rnacentral:tRNA from 1 species
UCUGAAAUCGUCUAAUAGGUAAGACAUGGAUUUUUGGUGUCCAGAAUUGAGUGUUCGAAUCACUCUUUCAGAA